UCUCACCCUAAAGACCUGGUUGGUGGCGGGGUGGCGGGGAGUGCGGGGUCCUGGAUUACCUUGCACAUGGAGCCAGGGUCUCCAGGGAAGGGAGGGACUUAGAUACCCAACCGUGGCCCCUCAAGAAAUGAAAUCAGGCAGGCACGUCCAUCCGAGUGGGCUCUGAAACUCCCUCCUAACACCCACUGGCUGAUAAGAAACCCACCUGCCAAAGUUCGAGAGCCCAGGCUGAUGGAAGCUCGGUUGUGGACGAGAGGAACGAUGAGCUUUCAACUUUCGUGAGUUAUCCUCAAUUCAGUCAUUUUCAUACAUAUACACACACGUACGCGCUUAGGAAUGUACUAUUUGCGGUUGUGAAAAUGCAGUUGCUCAUCUUCUGCCUUGAGAGUCUGGAAA
rnacentral:lncRNA from 9 species